AGCGAACGCUGGCGGCAGGCCUAACACAUGCAAGUCGAACGAACCUUUCGGGGUUAGUGGCGGACGGGUGAGUAACACGUGGGAACGUGCCUUUAGGUUCGGAAUAACUCAGGGAAACUUGUGCUAAUACCGAAUGUGCCCUUCGGGGGAAAGAUUUAUCGCCGUUAGAGCGGCCCGCGUCUGAUUAGCUAGUUGGUUGAGGUAAUGGCUCACCAAGGCGACGAUAAGUAGCUGGUCUGAGAGGAUGAUCAGCCACAUUGGGACUGGGACACGGCCCAAAAUCCUACGGGAGGCAGCAGUGGGGGAUCUUGCGAAAUGGGCGAAAGGCUGAAGCAGCCAGGCCGGGAGAAUGAUGAAGGUCUUAGGAUUGUAAAAUUCUUUCACCGGGGACGAUAAUGACGGUACCCGGAGAAGAAGCCCCGGCUAACUUCGUG
rnacentral:rRNA from 1 species